CGUCUGUUGUUUGAAACGAUUCUUUCAGUUAAACAUUUCAAUGAUAUACUAAUAUAAUCGACGAGAAUUGAAACUGUUUAUAUACUUAUAUCUAUAUGGCUGUUUAUACGACGAGGUUUUUACUACAAACUGGCUGAAUAGGUAUUAAUAGGAACAUAAUUUGCUUUAUUUUAAAACGAAAGUAAAUAUGGCAUCAAAUUAUCAACUUGGAUACGAUGACGAAAGAUUCGAGUCGAUAGUAGAUCAAAAUUUCCACUGUUUGAUUUGCUAUAACGUAUUGAAAGACCCCGUGAUGUGCCGCAGAAACGAGCAUUAUUUUUGCCGUGGCUGCAUCACGGAACAUCUUCGUACGAAUUCCCAUACAUGCCCAACGUGUGCUGACGAGCUGAGUGUCGAAACAUUGCAAGACGUUCCAAGAAUUGUGAAGAAUUACUUAAAUGAACGAAAGAUUCGUUGCGAUCAUUACGACAGAGGAUGUCGAGAACUCGUACAGCUGCAGAAUUUAAAGCGACAUGUCGCCAAAUGCGGGUUUACUCCAGUCGUUUGUGGAAAUCAAGGUUGUGGUGAGACAAUCAGUAAAAGAGAUCGUACAUAUCACGAGAGUGAACUGUGUCAAUUUAGAAAGUUGAAGUGUCACAACUGUGGAGAAAUCAGCACGAUGAUCGCGGACAUGCAAACGGAAAUCGCAAACCAGAACACGAAAA